AACCAACGAUUUAAAAGCUACAGUUUCUGUACUUUAUUGGUACUUUAACACAUCCAACCAGCCUUCAUGGCUAGUAUUUCCGCUUGGCCAGGUCCCUCCUGAAGGAGCCUGGCC
rnacentral:misc_RNA from 1 species